UAAUACGGAGGGGACAAGCGUUGUUCGGAAUUACUGGGCGUAAAGCGGGUGUAGGCGGCUAGACAAGUCGAGUGUGAAAUCCCAGGGCCCAACCCUGGAACUGCAUUCGAAACUGUCUAGCUAGAGUCCCGGAGAGGAUGGCGGAAUUCCCGGUGUAGGGGUGAAAUCCGUAGAUAUCGGGAGGAACACCAGUGGCGAAGGCGGCCAUCUGGACGGUGACUGACGCUCAGACCCGAAAGCGUGGGGAGCAAACAGGAUUAGAUACCCUGGUAGUCCACGCCGUAAACGUUGAGUGCUCGUCGUCGCGGGUAUUGACCCCUGCGGUGACCAAGCUAACGCGAGAAGCACUCCGCCUGGGGAGUACGGUCGCAAGACUA
rnacentral:rRNA from 1 species